rnacentral:rRNA from 1 species
AUUGAACGCUGGCGGCAGGCCUAACACAUGCAAGUCGAGCGGAUGAAGGGAGCUUGCUCCUGGAUUCAGCGGCGGGCGGGUGAGUAAUGCCUAGGAAUCUGCCUGGUAGUGGGGGAUAACGUCCGGAAACGGGCGCUAAUACCGCAUACGUCCUGAGGGAGAAAGUGGGGGAUCUUCGGACCUCACGCUAUCAGAUGAGCCUAGGUCGGAUUAGCUAGUUGGUGGGGUAAAGGCCUACCAAGGCGACGAUCCGUAACUGGUCUGAGAGGAUGAUCAGUCACACUGGAACUGAGACACGGUCCAGACUCCUACGGGAGGCAGCAGUGGGGAAUAUUGGACAAUGGGCGCAAGCCUGAUCCAGCCAUGCCGCGUGUGUGAAGAAGGUCUUCGGAUUGUAAAGCACUUUAAGUUGGGAGGAAGGGCAGUAAGUUAAUACCUUGCUGUUUUGACGUUACCAACAGAAUAAGCACCGGCUAACUUCGUG